ACAGAGAGAGAGAGAGAGAGAGAGAGAGAGAGAACUACCAGGUCCCUUGACCAGCUUCCCCUGGGUCAUGGUGUUCUAGGAUCCAACAGAGAUGCCAAUUCAGGUUCUUAAUACUCCUCAAAUGUCCACAGUGGGAAUAACCCAACGGAUUCGGCAGAGCUGACCUGCAGCCCCAGAAAUGCUUCCUGAAGCGGAGAGCUGGAGGGGAUGAGGGGAAUCCAGCAUGAAGACAAGGGGGCACCUGCCUGUUCAUCAACUGGGAGUUCCAUCAUGAAAGCUAAUCGAGUAUUCGCCAAGCUAAUGAGGAACGGUUGAGCCAUACACAGCUCACGUGGACACCAGGCUUGCUCCACAUGCAUUUUGCAUUGAGUGUUAUUUGUAUAGCUGCUACUGGGAUCAUUUGAGAACUCCAAGCUCCCAAAUCUAAAGGCAGCAGACAAAGGCGGUUUUCAUCCUGGUACAAGUACAUAAGUAUGUAUGAAGAAAAUGAAGAUACAAGAUAAAUAAUAAAGAUGAGAGGGUAAUAUGUUGGCUACCAUCUUCCAACUCCUAGACCAGGAGAUCAUAAUCUCUAUAUCUAUGCACCAGGCAGGCAGCAUGGACCUGGGACAGGCCUGGAGUAACCCAGAGAAGCACUAUAAGACUGCUAACUACAAGAUUGGACACGGCCCCGGACUUAGCUACCUUUCUAUCACUGUGACAAAACACCAUGACCAAGAUGCUGCCUGACUAUGGAGUUUCCACUGACAACUCGCUCGCUAAUUCCUUGCAUGGGAAAACUACAUCUUUGCUGUUCGUAA
rnacentral:lncRNA from 1 species